rnacentral:rRNA from 1 species
UGGGGGAUAUUGCACAAUGGGCGAAAGCCUGAUGCAGCGACGCCGCGUGGGGGAUGAAGGCUUUCGGGUUGUAAACCUCUUUCGCUAUCGAACAAGGCCCGCUUAGGGUGGGUUGAGGGUAGGUGGAGAAGAAGCGCCGGCUAACUACGUGCCAGCAGCCGCGGUAAUACGUAGGGCGCGAGCGUUGUCCGGAAUUAUUGGGCGUAAAGGGCUUGUAGGCGGCUUGUUGCGCCUGCUGUGAAAACGCGGGGCUUAACUUCGCGCGUGCAGUGGGUACGGGCAUGCUUGAGUGUGGUAGGGGUGACUGGAAUUCCAGGUGUAGCGGUGGAAUGCGCAGAUAUCUGGAGGUACACCGAUGGCGAAGGCAGGUCACUGGGCCAUUACUGACGCUGAGGAGCGAAAGCAUGGGUAGCGAACAGG